rnacentral:rRNA from 1 species
GAUGAACGCUAGCUACAGGCUUAACACAUGCAAGUCGAGGGGCAGCAUGUCGGUUGCUUGCAACCGAUGAUGGCGACCGGCGCACGGGUGAGUAACGCGUAUCCAACCUUCCCCAUAGUAGAGAAUAGCCCGGCGAAAGUCGGAUUAAUACUCUAUGUUCUCCUUUGAUGGCAUCAGAUGAGGAGCAAAGAUUCAUCGGUAAGGGAUGGGGAUGCGUCUGAUUAGCUUGCCGGCGGGGUAACGGCCCACCGGGGCAACGAUCAGUAGGGGUUCUGAGAGGAAGGUCCCCCACAUUGGUACUGAGACACGGACCAAACUCC